rnacentral:rRNA from 1 species
UACGUAGGGACCAAGCGUUGUUCGGAUUUACUGGGCGUAAAGGGCGCGUAGGCGGCGUUGUAAGUCAGCUGUGAAAUCUCCGAGCUUAACUCGGAACGGUCAGCUGAUACUGCUGUGCUAGAGUACAGAAGGGGCAAUCGGAAUUCCUGGUGUAGCGGUGAAAUGCGUAGAUAUCAAGAGGAACACCUGAGGUGAAGACGGGUUGCUGGGCUGAUACUGACGCUGAGGCGCGAAAGCGAGGGUAGCAAACGGG